CACGUUUCAAUCUGGAAACUAAAGAAAUAAACUCAUAUUUUCGUCGAAUUAAUACUUUAUUGGAUUGAAUUCAUUUCAAAUAUUCUUCUAUUCGCCCAAGAGCAUUUCAUUUUGUUGGAAGUUAUUUAUCAAAAGGUAAAAAUCCGAAAAUGUUGAACUGGAAUAACGAGAUGAGCCAAAUGCUUCUUGCGUUCGAACUACAAGCCAAAUAUUCUCUGAGCAACAUUAAAAUGGCACUAAAACACGAUGGUUUGUCGUUUAAUGCUGAGUUCAGGCAGUAUUUUUUGCGAGCUACGACCCAUCGAAUCGAGGAAACCUAUGACAACUUCGAAAUUAAUUCAAUUUUUGAGGACCAAGUGAACGGUGAUGCUUAUGGAAGCACGUCAGCAAUUGAUAGACUUCCGAUGCUGAGCUCAAUGUAUACCAAAAAUCAUGAC